UCUCUGGUGGUCCAGUGGUUAGGACUCCAAGCUUCCAGUGCAGGAGGUUCGGGUUCAAUUCCUGGUUGGGGAA
rnacentral:tRNA from 1 species